GCGGGGGCUGCGGCCCAGCCCGGCGGGUCCCCAGGGGCUGCGCGGCGCUCGCCUCGCGCUAGAGGGCGAGAGAGGCUGGGGACCCCGUGGAGUAGCCUGUCUCAGGUCCCCGUGGCCCACUGGGAGGGGCGCUCCCGGGAUGAAGCCAGAGUAAAUACAGGACAUCAGGACAUUGUUUUCUGGCGGUGAUGGUGAACAAGAUGGACAUAAGGCCUUCCUCAGUGGCAAGGAUCUCAAGAUCCCUUCUUGAUCUCAGAUUCUGUAAAUGGGAUACCUUUCUCCAUGUACUGAAGCAGCUCAAAGCCCUCGCCAGAUCUCAGCACCAUGCUCUUGGACUUACCAGCCUCCAGAACUGUGAGCCAAAUAAACUUAUUUUCUUUAUAAAUUACCCAUCCUCAGUAAUUCUGUUACAGAAACUAAAAAUAACAGAGGGACAUACUUAUUAAUACUAACUGUAGGACAAGCCCUACCCCAAAGUAAGCCCCCAUGUGAGGGCAGUGACAAUGGUGGUUAUACAGAUGCCAAAAAACCACAGAAAAAGCACUUAUCUAUAGCCAGAAGACCCAGGAAAGAGCCCUCUGACCACCCCUGAAGGGCGUGGCAAAAAGUCAGGUUAUUCCUCUUUCCUCUUGCCACUGUGUGGCAAAUAAAGACUCAGUUAUAGGAAAGGCACAACAGUGUGAGAAGGCUAAAACUCAGAGAGAAACUGCAGCUUUCUAGCCAGAGAACUGGGAUAAGAGAUGCCUGGAAGCUGGGGAAAUCACAGAAGAGGUGAAGUGCUGAAGGAAUCACAGAAGAGGUGAAGAGCUGAAGAAGAAGAUUCUGUAAAUUUGUGUACCUCUGUAUGAACUGACAGAAGUCUUAGGCUCACCCACAAGAUGAACAUGCUCAAGACAGGCCAAAAAGAGCAACAUGAAGGCUUUAGAACUGACCUAGAGUGUAGACUCCACAGAGGUCCCAGACUGGCACCCAGCGGCACACACAUGGGAUAGAUACAAACAGCUGUAAAGUCUUUAAAAACUGAACCACUGCCUACAGAAGGUAGUCAGAACAUGUAGUCUAAACGUCUCUGGGUUGAUUAUCUACUAAAGCAACCAGAACAACAAAACCAACAAUUUCCAGGAGAUUUUUACAUGACCACAAGGCUCAUAACAUAACACUCAAAAUUUUCGUGAUAAAAUCCAAAGUUACUUGGCAUAUAAAGAACCAAGUAAAUCUAAAUGGAUCAUAAGAAAAAAGCAAUCAUGAAAUGCCAAUUCCAAGAUGCCAGAGGUUGGAAUGAUCGGACAAAUAUUUUAAUUCAGUUAUUAUAAUCAUCUUCAAGUAUAGUCAUCUUUUGCUAAUGUGAUUGUUGUAAUAAACUGUCUUUCAUCUUUGACCUGGAGGCUUCAUGUUUUUCUGCCAGUAUCUAUGAAACUGUGACAGACAAACUUGUUAGUUGACAAGUACAGUAAAAUCUUCACAAUUCCUGACAUGAGAGUUUAACAAACAUCAAAAAUGAAAGAAAGAAUAUAUCACAAUUCCUGACAUGAGAGUUUAACAAACAUCAAGAAUGAAAGCAAGAAUAUCACCACAGGUCCUAAAGAUAUUUUAAAAAAUAACAAAAGAAUACUACAAAAAAAUGAUAUGUCCAUUAAUUCAACAACAUACACGAAAUAGACUAAUUCUUCUGUCUUUCACACAAAAAGGAUUCAGUACUAUAUAAAAAGGACAGUACACCUAGCCAAAUGUGGUUUGAGAAAUGUAAGACUGCUAUAAAAUUUGAAAAUCAAUCAGUGUAACUCACCAUAUUAACAGAACAAAGAAGAAAAUAUACAGAUCUUUUCAGUAGAUGAAGAAAAAGUAUUUUACAAAAUUUUAUGAAAGAUUUUCAUCCAUCUAGAAUAGUAAAAGUUUGUCUUAAAGCAAAUGAAAAGAUUAAAGAAUACAAGAUCUCUUGUUAACCAAUAAUUAUGCAAAUUUAUUUGAUUAUAUAAACACUUUCACAGAACCAAGAACCAUGAGAUGACUAUUUUAGAUAAGAAAGCCUCUGGGCCAAAAGUAGGAACCCUUAGAAACCAUCAAAACCUUGAAAUCUGCUCUGAAUACACUCACAUUCCAUGGACACUGACAGCACAGGACAAUGAUCAGGAACACAGACUCUGAUGCCCAGCUGACUGGGGUCCAUCCUGGCUCCAAUAUCCGUCCAUCUGCCAACUUUAUAAUCUUGGGGACACUCAAGUAACUUUUUGUUACGCACAUAGGUCUGCAACAAUCACUGUGGUCAGAAGGAUGUGAUAAACGGAUUGGCUCAAACCAGCACGGACCACAUAUUCUACAACAGAUGUGUGACGGACUCAGCUCUGCACUUACGCACCUCCAAGCCUUGAUUAUCAGAUCAUGUCCUUCUUCCCUAAUGUUUAAUUUCUCUUUGGGGGACUUUGAGGACAUUCUGUCAUUUGUCCUCCAUCAGAACUAACACAAUCCAUUAAAGAGGUGCAGUAAUAUUGGACCUCAAAAGAAAAGCACUUGCUAUUUCAAUUUCUACUCUCCCAGGAUGUGUCUCUUCUAUAUAAAUUACUCACCUCAGUGAUCAGCUCUGCAAUACCAAGGGGUCAUGGGAGAGAUUGUUCAUGUAACGCCACAUUUCCUCCAAAGAAAUUGGUAGCUAUUGGCUUUUCUUUGUGUAACCUUUACUCCGAACAUAAGUUAAUGACCUACCUCUUAAAAGAAAUUAGGCGUGUUCACUUUUAACCUUUGUAUAAAUAGAAAAAAAAUAGGGAAAGAGAAAAGUGGAUAAGUCAUUACUGUACAACUAAUUUUCACAAAGUGAACACACUUUGUAAUCAGCACUGAAAUAAAGAUAUAGAACAUGAUCACUGGCCUAAUAGUCUCCCCCUCAUAUACCCUCCAAGUUACUGAAACCUACCCACCAAGACUAAUCAAUAUCCUGUCUUCUAAUACUGUAGACUGGUUUUGCCUAGACUGACUUUAUAUAAAUGGAAUUAUACAUAGUAUCUGUUAAUCUCUUCCCAGUUUCCAUAGCUCAACAUUAUAUUAUUUUAUACAGUUAUAGUUUCUUUUAUUCUUGUGUGAGAAAGAAAAAUAACUGAUGAAUAUAUGAGUUCACUUAGAGAAAUACACAGGAGGGCCUUCAAGUAAUAUAAACUUCUUCCAAAGAAGUAGCACUAAGCCUCAUUCUAGAGCUCCACAGGCUGCUAGGUAGUAAGAUGAUAAUGAGUGCAGGCCACUCUGUUCAAAGCAGUGAUAAUAGUUAACAUUUAUUAAGUGCAGCCAGAAACUGUAGUAAGUGCUGUACAUGGAUUAUUUUAUUUAAUCCUUACAACUCUAUGAUGUUUGAUGUUUUAUAGACUGAAGAAAUUGGAGCUUUAGAGAGGGUAUCAGAUUUGUCUAAGGUCAUGGGGCAUGAUACAGCUUGGAUAUGAAUCCAGAAGGUGUCUCUGGAGUCCAAGCUCUUUGCCAUACAGCCAUGCUCUUCUGUGAGAUACUAAGUGACAUAACACUUUCCAACCAUUCAAUCCAAAGUACAAAUUUAUCUCCACUACACUACAGAUGCUACUUCACAUCAGUAAUAAAAAUAAAAGGAAAAUUGUCCUAGAUGAAUUUCCACUGGUGUUAAAAUAAUGCCUGUAAUUUCAAAGAUGAUAUUUGAUUAAAUCAAUCAACUUAUUAAAUAACUUAUAGCCUUCGUUUUUUAUCCUAUAGUGGACAUUUCCUCUUUCUUCCUCCUCUUAGUAUACCACAAUUCUCACUUCAAUAUCCUCCUCCACCCAUUCAGUCCAUGAGUAUUGGUAUAUACUGAUGGGUUUAAGCCAAACCACCCACCCCAUCACCUGGUCACAGGAAUUAAUACAGAGAGGGCACAUAAUCCAAUUCAGGCCAAUAAAACAAGAGAUGUUUGCUGGAGGCUUUUGGGAAGAAAGCUUCACUAUUCUCCUACUGAAGCCUCAUUGAAGAGAUAAUCUUGAUCCUUCUGAUCAGUAGGACAUUUGAAUGUGAGGCCUAGAAUUGCAGCUGUUUUGCUAGCAUAAGAGAAGUCAGCCUGAAGAUGAAGCCAAGAUAUGGAGGAAGGAAGAGCCAAGAUAAUCACUCAUGAAUGAGGAGCCCUGAUAAAACCAUUCCUGAAAUCCCCCUCCCAAUGUUUCAAUUUAAAUAUUACAUAAAGUUUCAAAACUAUAAUACCAGGGCUAUAUAUGAUGAAUUUACUCAGUUGCCACUUCCAGUAAUAUCUCUCAACCAUCAGCCACUUAACUGCCCUGCUGGUAAAGUGAUACUGUCUAUUUCUUCUGUAAAACAGACUUACUAAGGCCCUUGUCACACUGAACACCCAUGUCUAAUACUCCUCUGCUUUACACCCACACACUUGUGUGCCCAUCAGUUAAAGUGUGUUGUCACCAAGUCAGUUGGGUUUGCUCAAACCUGUUUACUCUAUUUGAGCAUAUUAUUAUAAAUAUGUAAUUCAAAUAAAGAUCUCAAAAAUCAAUGAAAUAUAAUUUUUAAAGUUGUUUUAAUAAAAACUAACUUAAAUGUUUUAGAGAGGAUAAGUAAUAGAAUCAUACUAUCUCUUAAUCAUUUUAGUGAUUACUGUCAUUGAAUUAAGUGUUAGCCAGGCACUCCUAAAGAUAAGUGAAAAAAAAUUACCAUAAUAUAGGAGCUUUCUCCCAGUUUAAUACACAAGUAUUUUAAACUUUCCAUUCCGUUUUAAAGAAGCAUAGGUGAUAACUAUUGUGUAUAUACAUUAUAUACAUAUAUAUGUAAAUAUAUAUAUAGUAAUAUAUAAUGUAAAAUAUAUACACAUAUGUAUUUUUGAGUUGGGGGUCUCGCCAGUCACCCAGACUGCAGUAUAGUGGUGUGAUCAUGGCUUGCUGAAAUAUCAAACUCUUGGGAUCAAUAAGUUUGAUCCUCCUACCUCAGCCUCCUGAGUAGCUGGGACUACAGGUUUUAAAAAAUUUUUUUAGACAUGGGGUUUUGCUAUGUUGCCCAGGCUGCUCUUGAACUCCUGGCCUCAAGCAACCCUCCUGCCUUUGCCUUAACUAUACCUUUUUAAGUUUGAAUUACAUAUAUAACAUAUUAAAUUUAAGGAUAUUCUGUAAAUAAAAAGAAAAAAUAUUAAGAAAAGAUUCUAGGUUGUUAGUCACAUUGCUGAUUAGCCAAGCAGCAUCAGUCCUAGUUGUGUCAGGUAAGUACAUUUCCACCAUUGUUCAAAAACAAGUAAGGUUGUCCAUAUACCUCUUUCCGUCCCCAGCAAGUAUCUUAGGCCCAAAGUGAGAUGCAGCAACAAAGUGUGGAUUAUUACAAUUAAAUCCAAGCUUAUAUUGAAAACAAUGAUGACUUAUGGAGUCAUGCUGUCUUUUAUUAUAUGUCUAAGAACUGGAAUGAUAUCUCUUUCAUAAUAGGUGAUAAAAAUUUCUUUUCAAAUAAAUAUUUUGUUUAGAAGUAUGCUAUUUUUAUUAAAGACUGCCAUUUAAGCAGCUGGACAUCAGUAAAUCAUUGAACUUUUAAAUCAUUCUUCAUAUUGUACCCUAAGGGGUCUGAGAUUUUUUCCUUACCACUUUUUCAAAAAACUAAAGUAGGACAAAAAGCCAACAAAAAUGUCUCCUACACAUUUACUUUUAAUUAUAUUCAGCCUCAUUUUUAGUCAUUUGUUUUACCUGGAAAUAAUCUUUCUAGUGUACUAAUUGUUCCAAUAUACUAAAGGUUCUAAUCUCAAUGUAAUUGUCUCACUUAAUAUUGAACUAUUAAAUAGCCACACAUUGGUUUGUCUGUAUUUCCAAAAAGGUUUCAUUUAAUUAAUUUUUACCCUGAAAGGUAAGGGUACAUAUAGAUAGUAACAUUUACUACCAUGUACAAAUUGCUAAAACAG
rnacentral:lncRNA from 1 species